rnacentral:RNase_P_RNA from 1 species
CGUCAUUGUUGAUCCAUCGCCUCUUUGCAAGACAAGGGGAGGAAAGUCCGGGCAGCGCAGUGCAUCUUGCUUCCUAACGGGAAGGAUUCUGCGAAUGCAGGAGACAGCCAGUGCCACAGAAAAUAACUAUCCGCCGAUUAGGCGGAAAAAGGUGAAAAUGUGAGGUAAGAGCUCACGGUGAUCGGUAGCGAUGCUGAUCAGGGGUAAACC